AACCAUGUGGUGUAGUGGUUUGAGCAUUGGACUAUGACUCUGGAAACCAGGGUUUGAAUCCCAGCAUGGCCA